AUCUCACCAGAGAUCUCACGAGUGGGUACAGCCUGGCGAGUCAGGUCAGCCCCGAGGAGAGAGUGGGGCCCAGAGGAAGUCAGUGCCAUGCUGUGAGGACACUCAAACAAUCCUGUGCAGAGCCCUGCAACCAACAGCCAGCACCUAUUUGCUAGUCUAAUGAGUGAGCCACCUGGGAAAUGGAUUCUCCAGACCCAAUCAGGCCUUCAGAUGCCUCAAGACCAGCCAGUAUCUGACUACAACUAAAUGAGAGAUUCUAAGUGAGAACUGCCCACAAGUUUUUGACCAACAGAAACUUGAACUGUAAUAAAUACUUCUUAUUGUUUUAAGACA